CCAUGAAUCGUCCUUUUGGACUCCAUCUUGAAUUGUGUGGAAGGUACCUCUGAUCUUUCCAUCACAUUCAUUCCACAAUGCCUAAGCAGAUUCACGAAAUCAAAGAUUUUCUCCUUACCGCUCGAAGGAAGGAUGCCAAAUGUAAGUGACGAUCUUCUUGCUCACGUACUAAUAAGAAAGGGCUGCUG